rnacentral:rRNA from 1 species
CCGUAGGUGAACCUACGGAAGGAUCAUUG